CCUAUGUUGUAGAGGAAAGUCCAUGCUCACACGGAUCUGAGAUGACCGUAGUGUUCGUGCUCGGCGAAAGAAUAAGCCGUGGCUUCGCGUAUAACGCGUUGACGGCGGGAAUAAAUCCUAAGUCUUCGGAUAUGGAUGAGGUUCCCUGAACAGUGCCACAGUGACGUAGCUGUCUCGGAAACGGGGCAGAUGGAACGCGGUAAACCCCACGAGUGAGAAACCCAAACUAUGGUAGGGGCACUCUUCCGAGGGAAAUGAACUGUAGGAAGAGACAGGUGUAUACCUGUAGAUAGAUGAUUACCACC
rnacentral:RNase_P_RNA from 1 species